rfam:Omnitrophica bacterium RIFCSPHIGHO2_02_FTLL_46_11 rifcsphigho2_02_scaffold_1630, whole genome shotgun sequence.
UUUUCGGAGAGUUUGAUCCUGGCUCAGAACGAACGCUGGCGGCGUGGAUUAGGCAUGCAAGUCGAACGGAAUUUCUAGCUUUUUCGGAAAUUCAGUGGCGAAAGGGUGAGUAACACGUGGGUAAUCUACCUAGAAGAUUGGGAUAACCUGUCGAAAGACGGGCUAAUACCGAAUGAGACCACGAUUUCUUCGGAAAUUGAGGUCAAAGAUGGGGACCGUAAGGCCUAUCGCUUUUAGAGGAGCCCGCGUCCUAUCAGCUAGUUGGUGAGGUAAUGGCUCACCAAGGCAAUGACGGGUAGCUGGCCUGAGAGGGUGGUCAGCCACAUCGGGACUGAGACACUGCCCGGACUCCUACGGGAGGCUGCAGUCGAGAAUCUUUCGCAAUGGGGGAAACCCUGACGAAGCGACGCCGCGUGCAGGAUGAAGGCCUUCGGGUCGUAAACUGCUGUCAAUUGGGACGAAUGAUAGCGAAGUGAACAACUUUUCUAUUUGACGGUACCAGUAAAGGAAGCCACGGCUAACUCUGUGCCAGCAGCCGCGGUAAGACAGAGGUGGCUAGCGUUGUUCGGAUUCAUUGGGUGUAAAGGGUGCGUAGGCGGUUUGGAAAGUCAGAUGUGAAAGCCCACAGCUCAACUGUGGAAAUGCAUCUGAAACUUCCAGACUCGAGUGCGAGAGAGGUAAAGGGAAUUCCCGGUGUAAGGGUGAAAUCUGCAGAGAUCGGGAGGAACACCAGUAGCGAAGGCGCUUUACUGGCUCGUAACUGACGCUGAGUGCACGAAGGCGUGGGGAGCAAACGGGAUUAGAUACCCCGGUAGUCCACGCAGUAAACGAUGUUCACUAGGUGUCGGUUCCUUUAUUGGGAUCGGUGCCGCAGCUAACGCGCUAAGUGAACCACCUGGGGAGUACAGUCGCAAGGCUGAAACUCAAAGGAAUUGACGGGGACCCGCACAAACGGUGGAGCAUGUGGUUUAAUACG